rnacentral:rRNA from 1 species
UACAGAGGGUGCUAGCGUUGUUCGGAAUUAUUGGGCGUAAAGGGCGCGUAGGCGGUCUCGCAUGUCGAAUGUGAAAGCCCACCUCUUAAAGGUGGAAUUGCAUUCGAAACUGCGAGACUAGAGUGCCGGAGAGGGUGGUGGAAUUCCUGGUGUAGAGGUGAGAUUCGUAGAUAUCAGGAGGAACACCGGUGGCGAAGGCGACAUACUGGUCCAUUACUGACGCUGAGGCUCGAAAGCGUGGGGAGCAAACAGGAUUAGAUACCCCGUAGUACCGUCCGU